rnacentral:rRNA from 1 species
GCGAACGGGUGAGUAACGCGUAAGAACCUGCCCUUGGGAGGGGAACAACAACUGGAAACGGUUGCUAAAACCCCGUAGGCUGAGGAGCAAAAGGAGAAAUCCGCCCAAGGAGGGGCUCGCGUCUGAUUAGCUAGUUGGUGAGGCAAUAGCUUACCAAGGCGAUGAUCAGUAGCUGGUCCGAGAGGAUGAUCAGCCACACUGGGACUGAGACACGGCCCAGACUCCUACGGGAGGCAGCAGUGGGGAAUUUUCCGCAAUGGGCGAAAGCCUGACGGAGCAAUGCCGCGUGKAGGUGGAAGGCCUACGGGUCGUCAACUUCUUUUCUCGGAGAAGAAACAAUGACGGUAUCUGAGGAAUAAGCAUCGGCUAACUCUGUGCCAGCAGCCGCGGUAAU